GUGCCUGUAGCUCAGUGGCUAGAGCACCAGUCACAUACACUGGGGAUGGCAAGUUUGAAUCCUGCCCAGGCCU
rnacentral:tRNA from 1 species